rnacentral:rRNA from 1 species
GUUGUAUGGUUAAGUGACUAAGCGUACACGGUGGAUGCCUUGGCAGUCAGAGGCGAUGAAAGACGUAGUAACUUGCGAUAAGCCCAGAUUAGGUAGUAACAACCAUUUGAGUCUGGGAUUUCUGAAUGGGGAAACCCACGUGCAUAAGUAAGUAUCAUUAACUGAAUACAUAGGUUAAUGAGGCGAACCGGGGGAACUGAAACAUCUAAGUACCCCGAGGAAAAGAAAUCAACCGAGAUUCCGAAAGUAGCGGCGAGCGAAAUUGGACUAGCCCUUAAGCUUUACACGCGUUAGACGAACGGUCUGGAAAGUCCGACGAUACAGGGUGAUAGUCCCGUAGUUGACGACGUGUGUUCAGUGAAAUCGAGUAGGGCGGGACACGUGAUAUCCUGUCUGAAUAUGGGGGGACCAUCCUCCAAGGCUAAAUACUACUGACUGACCGAUAGUGAACCAGUACCGUGAGGGAAAGGCGAAAAGAACCCCUGUGAGGGGAGUGAAAUAGAACCUGAAACCGUGUACGUACAAGCAGUAGGAGCAGGCUUGUCCUGUGACUGCGUACCUUUUGUAUAAUGGGUCAGCGACUUAUAUUCAGUGGCAAGGUUAACCAUCUAGGGGAGCCGUAGGGAAACCGAGUCUUAACUGGGCGUUCAGUCUCUGGAUAUAGACCCGAAACCAGGUGAUCUAGCCAUGGGCAGGUUGAAGGUUGAGUAACAUCAACUGGAGGACCGAACCGACUAAUGUUGAAAAAUUAGCGGAUGACUUGUGGCUAGGGGUGAAAGGCCAAUCAAACCUGGAGAUAGCUGGUUCUCCCCGAAAGCUAUUUAGGUAGCGCCUCGGACGAAUACUACUGGGGGUAGAGCACUGUUAAGGCUAGGGGGUCAUCCCGACUUACCAACCCUUUGCAAACUCCGAAUACCAGUAAGUACUAUCCGGGAGACACACGGCGGGUGCUAACGUCCGUCGUGGAGAGGGAAACAACCCAGACCGCCAGCUAAGGUCCCAAAUUACUACUAAGUGGGAAACGAUGUGGGAAGGCUCAGACAGCCAGGAUGUUGGCUUAGAAGCAGCCAUCAUUUAAAGAAAGCGUAAUAGCUCACUGGUCGAGUCGGCCUGCGCGGAAGAUGUAACGGGGCUAAGUAGUAAACCGAAGCUGCGGCAAUGUGCUUUUGCACAUUGGGUAGGGGAGCGUUCUGUAAGCGGUUGAAGGUGUGUGGUAACGCAUGCUGGACGUAUCAGAAGUGCGAAUGCUGACAUGAGUAACGAUAAAGGGGGUGAAAAACCUCCUCGCCGGAAGACCAAGGGUUCCUGUCCAACGUUAAUCGGGGCAGGGUAAGUCGACCCCUAAGGCGAGGCCGAAAGGCGUAGUCGAUGGGAAACGGGUUAAUAUUCCCGUACUUCUUACAAUUGCGAUGGGGGGACGGAGAAGGCUAGGUGGGCCUGGCGACGGUUGUCCAGGUUCAAGUGCGUAGGCUUAAGAGUUAGGUAAAUCCGGCUCUUUUUAAGGCUGAGACACGACGUCGAGCACCUACGGGUGUGAAGUCAUUGAUGCCAUGCUUCCAGGAAAAGCCUCUAAGCUUCAGAUUGUAAGGAAUCGUACCCCAAACCGACACAGGUGGUCGGGUAGAGAAUACCAAGGCGCUUGAGAGAACUCGGGUGAAGGAACUAGGCAAAAUGGUACCGUAACUUCGGGAGAAGGUACGCUCUUGAUGGUGAAGUCCCUUGCGGAUGGAGCUGACGAGAGUCGCAGAUACCAGGUGGCUGCAACUGUUUAUUAAAAACACAGCACUGUGCAAAAUCGUAAGAUGACGUAUACGGUGUGACGCCUGCCCGGUGCCGGAAGGUUAAUUGAUGGGGUUAGACUUCGGUCGAAGCUCUUGAUCGAAGCCCCGGUAAACGGCGGCCGUAACUAUAACGGUCCUAAGGUAGCGAAAUUCCUUGUCGGGUAAGUUCCGACCUGCACGAAUGGCGUAAUGAUGGCCACGCUGUCUCCACCCGAGACUCAGUGAAAUUGAAAUCGCUGUGAAGAUGCAGUGUACCCGCGGCUAGACGGAAAGACCCCGUGAACCUUUACUACAGCUUGGCACUGAACAUUGACCCUACAUGUGUAGGAUAGGUGGGAGGCUUUGAAGCACGUACGCCAGUAUGUGUGGAGCCGUCCUUGAAAUACCACCCUUGUAGUGUUGAUGUUCUAACGUCGACCCCUAAUCGGGGUUGCGGACAGUGCCUGGUGGGUAGUUUGACUGGGGCGGUCUCCUCCCAAAGAGUAACGGAGGAGCACGAAGGUGGGCUAAUCACGGUUGGACAUCGUGAGGUUAGUGCAAUGGCAUAAGCCCGCUUGACUGCGAGAAUGACAAUUCGAGCAGGUGCGAAAGCAGGUCAUAGUGAUCCGGUGGUUCUGAAUGGAAGGGCCAUCGCUCAACGGAUAAAAGGUACUCCGGGGAUAACAGGCUGAUACCGCCCAAGAGUUCAUAUCGACGGCGGUGUUUGGCACCUCGAUGUCGGCUCAUCACAUCCUGGGGCUGAAGUCGGUCCCAAGGGUAUGGCUGUUCGCCAUUUAAAGUGGUACGCGAGCUGGGUUUAGAACGUCGUGAGACAGUUCGGUCCCUAUCUGCCGUGGGCGUUGGAAGAUUGAAGGGGGCUGCUCCUAGUACGAGAGGACCGGAGUGGACGAACCUCUGGUGUUCGGGUUGUGUCGCCAGACGCAUUGCCCGGUAGCUAAGUUCGGAAUCGAUAACCGCUGAAAGCAUCUAAGCGGGAAGCGAGCCCUGAGAUGAGUCUUCCCUGAUACUUUAAGUAUCCUAAAGGGUUGUCGGAGACUACGACGUUGAUAGGUCAGGUGUGUAAGUGCUGUGAGGCAUUGAGCUAACUGAUACUAAUUGCCCGUGAGGCUUAACCAUACAACACCCAAGGGGUUU